AUCCCUGUAGAGCAAUGGAUAGCGCUUUGGACUUUUAAUCCAGAGGUCGUGGGUUCGAAUUCCACCUGGAAUG
rnacentral:tRNA from 1 species